rnacentral:lncRNA from 1 species
UACUACAAUGACAGGUUGUUAAGUAAACUGCAAUCGGACUAUGCAAAGAAGUACAAAGGUUGGGAUUUUCAUCCUGAUGAUGACCACCUCAAGGAUGAGGUUGGGGCAUUAGAAGCAUUAAGCGACCGCCUUGAUGUAGAUGACGAGGCUCGUCAGAGUGCACUAUUACCAAGGCCUGUACGUCCCACUAUGUUUUCAAG